UGGGGAAUCUUGCGCAAUGGGCGAAAGCCUGACGCAGCGACACCGCGUGGGGGACGAAGGCCUUUCAGGUCGUAAACCCCUUUCGGCAGGGACGAAGCGAUCUCGUGACGGUACCUGCAGAAGAAGCCUCGGCUAACUACGUGCCAGCAGCCGCGGUAACACGUAGGAGGCGAGCGUUGUCCUGAAUCAUUGGGCGUAAAGAGCGCGCAGGCGGCCCGGCAAGUCGGGUGUGAAAUCUCGGGGCUCAACCCCGGAACUGCAUCCGAUACUGCCGGGCUAGAGGUAGGUAGGGGAGAUCGGAAUUCCUGGUGUAGCGGUGAAAUGCGCAGAUAUCAGGAGGAACACCGGUGGCGAAGGCGGAUCUCUGGGCCUUACCUGACGCUCAGGCGCGAAAGCUAGGGGAGCGAACAGGAUUAGAUACCCUGGUAGUCCUAGCCGUAAACGUUGGGUGCUAGGUGUGGGCGGA
rnacentral:rRNA from 1 species